rnacentral:rRNA from 1 species
UACAGAGGGGGCAAGCGUUGUUCGGAAUUACUGGGCGUAAAGGCGCGUAGGCGGCCUGCUAAGUCGAACGUGAAAUCCCCAGGCUCAACCUGGGAACUGCGUCCGAUACUGGAUGGCUUGAAUCCGGGAGAGGGAUGUGGAAUUCCAGGUGUAGCGGUGAAAUGCGUAGAUAUCUGGAGGAACACCGGUGGCGAAGGCGGCAUCCUGGACCGGUAGUUGACGCUGAGGCGCGAAAGCCAGG